rnacentral:rRNA from 1 species
GAAGGUGGCGAGCGUUGUUCGGAAUCACUGGGCAUAAAGCGCACGUAGGCGGCGACGUAAGUUGGGUGUGAAAUCCCCCGGCCCAACCGGGGAACUGCGCCCAGUACUGCGUUGCUUGAGGAUCAAAGGGGUGCAUGGAAUUCCCGGUGGAGCGGUGAAAUGCGUUGAUAUCGGGAGGAACUCCGGCGGCGAAAGCGGUGCACUGGUUGAUUUCUGACGCUGAGGUGCGAAAGCCAGGGGAGCAAACGGGAUUAGAUACCCCGGUAGUCCUGGCCGUAAACGAUGGGCACUAGGUAGGGGGGAACCAAACGCCUCCCUGCUGGAGUGAAUAUAUUAAGUGCCCCGCCUGGGAAGUACGGUCGCAAGG